UCCGUAGGUGAACCUGCGGAAGGAUCAUUAACGAGUUUUGAAACGAGUUGUAGCUGGCCUUCCGAGGCAUGUGCACGCUCUGCUCAUCCACUCUACCCCUGUGCACUUACUGUAGGUUGGCGUGGGCUCCUUUGCGGGAGCAUUCUGCCGGCCUAUGUAUACUACAAACACUUUAAAGUAUCAGAAUGUAAACGCGUCUAACGCAUCUAUAAUACAACUUUUAGCAACGGAUCUCUUGGCUCUCGCAUCGAUGAAGAACGCAGCGAAAUGCGAUAAGUAAUGUGAAUUGCAGAAUUCAGUGAAUCAUCGAAUCUUUGAACGCACCUUGCGCUCCUUGGUAUUCCGAGGAGCAUGCCUGUUUGAGUGUCAUGGAAUUCUCAACUUAUAAAUCCUUGUGAUCUAUAAGCUUGGACUUGGAGGCUUGCUGGCCCUUGCGGUCGGCUCCUCUUGAAUGCAUUAGCUUGAUUCCGUACGGAUCGGCUCUCAGUGUGAUAAUUGUCUACGCUGUGACCGUGAAGUGUUUUGGCAAGCUUCUAACCGUCCAUUAGGACAACUUUUUAACAUCUGACCUCAAAUCAGGUAGGACUACCCGCUGAACUUAAGCAUAUCAAUAAGCGGAGGA
rnacentral:rRNA from 1 species